rnacentral:rRNA from 1 species
GAUGAACGCUGGCGGCGUGCCUAAUACAUGCAAGUCGAGCGAACGGACGAGAAGCUUGCUUCUCUGAUGUUAGCGGCGGACGGGUGAGUAACACGUGGAUAACCUACCUAUAAGACUGGGAUAACUUCGGGAAACCGGAGCUAAUACCGGAUAAUAUUUUGAACCGCAUGGUUCAAAAGUGAAAGACGGUCUUGCUGUCACUUAUAGAUGGAUCCGCGCUGCAUUAGCUAGUUGGUAAGGUAACGGCUUACCAAGGCAACGAUGCAUAGCCGACCUGAGAGGGUGGUCGGCCGCACUGGAACUGGGACACGGUCCAGACUCCUACGGGAGGCCGCAGUAGGGAAUCUUCCGCAAUGGGCGAAAGCCUGACGGAGCAACGCCGCGUGAGUGAUGAAGGUCUUCGGAUCGUAAAACUCUGUUAUUAGGGAAGAACAUAUGUGUAAGUAACUGUGCACAUCUUGACGGUACCUAAUCAGAAAGCCACGGCUAACUACGUG